GCUUGCUGGGGUACUCGAGUGGCGAACGGGUGAGUAACACGUGGGUGAUCUGCCCUGCACUUUGGGAUAAGCUUGGGAAACUGGGUCUAAUACCGAAUAUGACCACUUCUUGGAUGUUGUGGUGGAAAGCUUUUGCGGUGUGGGAUGAGCCUGCGGCCUAUCAGCUUGUUGGUGGGGUAAUGGCCUACCAAGGCGGCGACGGGUAUCCGGCCUGAGAGGGUGUACGGACACAUUGGGACUGAGAUACGGCCCAGACUCCUACGGGAGGCAGCAGUGGGGAAUAUUGCACAAUGGGCGCAAGCCUGAUGCAGCGACGCCGCGUGGGGGAUGAAGGCCUUCGGGUUGUAAACUCCUUUCGCUAUCGACGAAGCCACUUGUGGUGACGGUAGGUAGAUAAGAAGCACCGGCUAACUACGUGCCAGCAGCCGCGGUAAUACGUAGGGUGCAAGCGUUGUCCGGAAUUACUGGGCGUAAAGAGCUCGUAGGUGGUUUGUCGCGUCGUCUGUGAAAUCC
rnacentral:rRNA from 1 species